CGCCCCAUAGCCUAGUGGUUAGCGCUGCUGUUUUUGAAUUUUUCAUCGCGAGUUCGACCCCCCACUGGGGUCA